UGGGGAAUAUUGGACAAUGGGCGCAAGCCUGAUCCAGCAAUGCCGCGUGUGUGAAGAAGGCCUUCGGGUUGUAAAGCACUUUUAUCAGGAGCGAAACGCUGUCGGCUAAUACCCGGCGGAACUGACGGUACCUGAGGAAUAAGCACCGGCUAACUUCGUGCCAGCAGCCGCGGUAAUACGAAGGGUGCAAGCGUUAAUCGGAAUUACUGGGCGUAAAGCGUGCGUAGGCGGUUUCUUAAGUCUGCUGUGAAAUCCCCGGGCUCAACCUGGGAAUGGCAGCGGAUACUGGGAGGCUAGAGUGUGUCAGAGGGUGGUGGAAUUCCCGGUGUAGCGGUGAAAUGCGUAGAGAUCGGGAGGAACAUCAGUGGCGAAGGCGGCCACCUGGGACAACACUGACGCUGAGGCACGAAAGCGUGGGGAGCAAACAGGAUUAGAUACCCUGGUAGUCCACGCCCUAAAACGAUGCGAACUGGAUGUUGGUCUCAACUCGGAGAUCAGUGUCGAAGCUAACGCGUUAAGUUCGCCGCCUGGGGAGUACGGUCGCAAGACUGAAACUCAAAUGAAUUGACGGGGUCAUAGCUGUUUCCUG
rnacentral:rRNA from 1 species